rnacentral:rRNA from 1 species
GCUUGUCUCAAAGAUUAAGCCAUGCAUGUCUAAGUGUAAAUACGUCUACACUGUGAAACUGCGAAUGGCUCAUUAAAUCAGUUAUCGUUUAUUUGAUGAUCUCUUGUUACAUGGAUAACCGUGGUAAUUCUAGAGCUAAUACAUGCUGUUAAGCCUGACUUCUUGAAGGGCUGUAUUUAUUAGAUAACAGACCAAUAUUCCUCGUGUCUAUUGUGGUGACUCAUAGUAACUGAUCGGAUCGCACGGGCUUGCCCGCGACAAACCAUUCAAGUUUCUGCCCCAUCAGCUUUCGAUGGUAGUGUAUUGGACUACCAUGGCUUUUACGGGUAACGGAGGAUUAGGGUUCGAUUCCGGAGAGGGAGCCUGAGAAACGGCUACCACAUCUAAGGAAGGCAGCAGG